rnacentral:lncRNA from 1 species
AUGGACAUGCCCUUCUGUAGCCAACCCCUUAUAAUGACCACAGAUGAGGGCCUGAGGCUCUUAGGCUCAUCCAAGCCUGUGAAGCAUUUGCUGACUUUUUUCCAUCUGCAACUUUUGCUCUUUUUCUUCCUUUUGAUGGAGGAUGACUGUGGCUGGGUUCUCCUUAUUCCUCAUGGUGGAGAGGAGCUUCCUUCACCUAAACAGCUGGGCUGUAAAUCACCAGGGAUGCUGAGAUGUGGCAGUGGUUUGACACUGGGAAACAAGAAGCAUCAGUGUUUCCUGAGCACUUGUUUAAAACAAGUGUGCCAACACGUGGCAGGCCAUUUCACUGAAAUCAGAUGAAACAGGGAGAGACCCCAAGAGAAGUGGUGGAGAGCCCUGCCCAAGGACAGCUGAGAGCUGUGGCUUGGGUCAUCCAGAGGCAGAUCUCUCUGUAAAGAUGCUCAGACUCGAUGAGCAAAGCAGCCUGCUCCCAGCUGAGGACCCUUGCUGUGGUGGGGCACAGGGAGCAGCACUCCGAGGAUGCCCAGAACAAGCAGAAAUAAAACAGGGCAGCAAAGUGGAUCUGAUGAAACU